AUGAACGCUGGCGGCGUGCCUAAUACAUGCAAGUCGAGCGAACGGACGAGAAGCUUGCUUUUCUGAUGUUAGCGGCGGACGGGUGAGUAACACGUGGAUAACCUACCUAUAAGACUGGGAUAACUUCGGGAAACCGGAGCUAAUACCGGAUAAUAUUUUGAACCGCAUGGUUCAAAAGUGAAAGACGGUCUUGCUGUCACUUAUAGAUGGAUCCGCGCUGCAUUAGCUAGUUGGUAAGGUAACGGCUUACCAAGGCAACGAUGCAUAGCCGACCUGAGAGGGUGAUCGGCCACACUAGAACUGAGACACGGUCCAGACUCCUACGGGAGGCAGCAGUAGGGAAUCUUCCGCAAUGGGCGAAAGCCUGACGGAGCAACGCCGCGUGAGUGAUGAAGGUCUUCGGAUCGUAAAACUCUGUUAUUAGGGAAGAACAUAUGUGUAAGUAACUGUGCACAUCUUGACGGUACCUAAUCAGAAAGCCACGGCUAACUACGUG
rnacentral:rRNA from 1 species